rnacentral:rRNA from 1 species
AGAUUGAACGCUGGCGGCAUGCCUUACACAUGCAAGUCGAACGGCAGCACGGGAGCAAUCCUGGUGGCGAGUGGCGAACGGGUGAGUAAUAUAUCGGAACGUGCCCAGUCGUGGGGGAUAACGCAGCGAAAGCUGUGCUAAUACCGCAUACGAUCUAUGGAUGAAAGCGGGGGAUCGCAAGACCUCGCGCGAUUGGAGCGGCCGAUAUCAGAUUAGCUAGUUGGUGGGGUAAAAGCCUACCAAGGCGACGAUCUGUAGCUGGUCUGAGAGGACGACCAGCCACACUGGAACUGAGACACGGUCCAGACUCCUACGGGAGGCAGCAGUGGGGAAUUUUGGACAAUGGGCGCAAGCCUGAUCCAGCAAUGCCGCGUGCAGGAUGAAGGCCUCGGUUGUAAACGUGACUUCUGUACGGAACGAAACGGUUCUACUCUAAUACAGGGCGUAAUGACGGUACGUAACGAAUAAGACACGGCUAACUACGUACG